GUUUAGAUAAGGCAGAGAAGACACGCACGAACGUGCUAAGCCGUCAAAUGGUCCUAUCCUCUGUGUCUCUAAAGAUGCCACUGUUGGAAACUGCCUGGAUGAUAGGUUUCACGUCCGCAAUUUCCUGAAACUUCGAACCAAAGCCUUCGGUGGCCCGUGCGCGAAACACAUAAAUCGCACGUCUGUUUACGACUCGGACCACCCCUGUGUUUCCUCACAAAAUCCACGCGGAGGUUAUCUGUAUUCCCCCUCAGGGGCGUACUGCCAAACGGUCGACGAUGGAAACACUGGAGAACGCCGGGGCGCUUAAAAGGGACCCCUGACUAUACUAAUAGUGAAUCCAUAGAUGAAUAUAAGCCGUUGCGAUCGUGUCGUAAACCGGGUAAAUUUGUAGAAGAGGGGAAAUCCAGAUGCCAGGGAAGAUCCCGUGCGUCAAAUGUGGUAUUUGACCAGUGGCUUGCAUACUGAUGGCACGAACAUUCGACACACUGAAAGCUUUAAGUAACUACCUUUGAUAGACAUGGUUGAUGUUCGUAUGAUUCUUUGUGGCUAGUCGGAAACAAUUUUCCAGCCCAAACCAUGUGCAUUUUGAUUUGGGUGCCUCCGCUGGUCCAACCUACUUGGACGCAACCGAAGGUAGUGUCGUGUCUAUUUAAUCUCUCGACACUGCAAAAGAAAAUAAUUCCGUGCCUGGCCUGCACACUUCUUGGUCUACGCACGUAAGCAAGAUCAACAUCAGUCGGUGAAUUCUCCGAGAAACGUUAUGUCUCGGCGUUCCUAGCUGCCGCCGCCAACAAUUGCCGACAUGGCUAAAUAUGCACUUACAUUGUGGUGCGAGGUCGCUAGAAGACAUGUUCCUCAGCCUAGGAGGCAG
rnacentral:lncRNA from 1 species